ACCUGUCACGGGUGCUGCUCGCAGUGCUCACGACGAAAGACGGAAACCGUGCCCUGGGAAGCUAUGGGCACAUCAGGGCGUU
rfam:Streptomyces rubrolavendulae strain MJM4426, complete genome.